AAUCAACGCUGGCGGCGUGCCUAACACAUGCAAGUCGAGCGCGAAAGGGGGGCAACUCCCGAGUAGAGCGGCGAACGGGUGAGUAACGCGUGGGUAAUCUACCUCCGAGUGGGGAAUAACAGCGGGAAACUGCUGCUAAUACCGCAUGACAUCGUCGGGUCGAUGGAUCUGACGAUCAAAGCCGGGGACCGCAAGGCCUGGCGCUUGGAGAGGAGCCCGCGUCCGAUUAGCUAGUUGGCGGGUAACGCCCACCAAGGCGACGAUCGGUAGCCGGCCUGAGAGGGCGGACGGCCACA
rnacentral:rRNA from 1 species